rnacentral:rRNA from 1 species
CCUACGGGGGGCAGCAGUAGGGAAUCUUCCACAAUGGACGAAAGUCUGAUGGAGCAACGCCGCGUGAGUGAAGAAGGGUUUCGGCUCGUAAAGCUCUUUUGGUAGUGAAGAAAGAUAGAGGUAGUAACUGGCCUUUAUUUGACGGUAAUUACUUAGAAAGUCACGGCUAACUACGUGCCAGCAGCCGCGGUAAUACGUAGGUGGCAAGCGUUUUCCGGAUUUAUUGGGCGUAAAGCGAGGGCAGGCGGGUUCAUAAGUCUGUUUUUAAAAACCUUUGCGCAAACCGAGAAU